rnacentral:rRNA from 1 species
UAGGGAAUCUUCGGCAAUGGGGGCAACCCUGACCGAGCAACGCCGCGUGAGUGAAGAAGGUUUUCGGAUCGUAAAGCUCUGUUGUAAGUCAAGAACGGGUGUGAGAGUGGAAAGUUCACACUGUGACGGUAGCUUACCAGAAAGGGACGGCUAACUACGUGCCAGCAGCCGCGGUAAUACGUAGGUCCCGAGCGUUGUCCGGAUUUAUUGGGCGUAAAGCGAGCGCAGGCGGUUUGAUAAGUCUGAAGUUAAAGGCUGUGGCUCAACCAUAGUUCGCUUUGGAAACUGUCAAACGUGAGUGCAGAAGGGGAGAGUGGAAUUCCAUGUGUAGCGGUGAAAUGCGUAGAUAUAUGGAGGAACACCGGUGGCGAAAGCGGCUCUCUGGUCUGUAACUGACGCUGAGGCUCGAAAGCGUGGGGAGCGAACAGG